AAAAGACCUGCUAUUAACCUUACCAAAAGGAACCUUGCCCUUCCUCUGAAUGUCACGCCACUCAUCAGACACUUGCCUCAACUUUGGCUGAUUGCCCUCAAUUGGGAAGUAAAAAGACUCCUGAAUCUCUCGCCCGAGAGGAGGACCCUCCACAGCAAAUCCCAUUUGUCUCCUAAGAAGCACCGGGUUGUAAUUAAUGCAACCUUGAACUCCUAUAAGAGGCACAUUGGGA
rnacentral:lncRNA from 1 species